UCACUGUCCCCAUGUCCCUGCUUGGCCUUCCUUCUGUCUUACUAAUGGCUCUGCCAUGAUGAUUUGGGCCCGAGGGAGGUAGGAUAGUGACUUGAUUCAUGGUGUGAGUCUGUAGUCCAGUGAGCCCUUUCUCUGGGUCUCUGCUCUUUGGGAGAGUUCAAGCCCCAUUUGCCCUAUGUCCUAGGGAAGUUGCACGCGGGCCACUGGCCACCCACAAAAACACGCUUGCCCACCAUGGGUGAAGUUGGAGCAUAGUCUCUGACCCACAUGCCCAGCACAGGGCUGAGCUUAGAGGCCGUUCCAUCCAAGGCUUUGCAUGCAAAGUGUCACCAGGCAAAAGGCAGACUGGAUGAAAAUGCCAUUGUGCUAUAGGAUCUUAAGGAGUGGCCAGGGGAGGCCACCAGGGGCCAGGCUUUCUCCCUUCUGAAGUUGAUGAUCAUUGCUUUUGUUUCUAACCCCCAAGGUGGUCAGGAAGUGGAACCAAGCAGGAAGUUCUGCAUGCCUAUGGCUUCCCUGUGGAGGGACCUCAAGAAGCCACAACAUCCAGCUCUACGCCAAGACUGACUGACGGCCUUUGGGGUGAGGUAGUAGGUUGUAUGGUUUUGGGCUCUGCCCCGCUCUGCGGUAACUAUACAAUCUACUGUCUUUCCUGAAGUGGCCGCAAUAUCUGCAGUGGAUACAACGGCGGCCCUGGCUGGGGAGACUGAGGGAGGGACAGGGGGGUGAUAACUACCAUGCAAAAAGAGCCUGACAGAGACCUUGGAUAGUCCCUUGACCUCUCUGGGCUGUUACUCAUCUGUAUAAGGGUUGGGGCAUAGCGAUGAAAACAGACAGCAUUUUCAGGGCACCUUCUCUCCCUGGCCCACACUGAAGGGGCCUUCCUGCCCCUGGCCCCAUAUCAGACCUGUGCUCACAGGUCUCCAUGAAAAGAGGGUCUGGACUAGACCUUCAACUAUGUUCCAGAGUUGCCCAGGCUUUCCAGCGCAGGGUCAGGCCUCUGACGAGCAAGCGUCUCUUCCGAGAAGAAAUUGAAAAGGAGCCAUUCUUAGCACACCCAUGAGUACAGCCUGCAGAUGGACCGUGUAGGCCACUGUCCCCUGUCCCUGGGGCAAUGGGUUCAGACACCAGAGGCUUCCUCAAUCUGUUUGGUAGGCACAGGCCUUUCUCACUGAACCUCUGUCUCCACUUCCCCCUCCCCCACCCCGCCCUGUGCCCUAUGGCUCUAGUGGCCUGUGGCCAGGGUGGGUGGGGAGCGGCUGGGCCUCCUCCAGAACACGGACACCGCAGGGUGAGGUAGUAGGUUGUGUGGUUUCAGGGCAGUGAUGUUGCCCCUCCGAAGAUAACUAUACAACCUACUGCCUUCCCUGAGGCGCCCAGGGACACAGCUACAUGGAGGCCCCCGCUCAGCAAGCUAAAUGGAGCCACAGAUUGGGUGGGGGCUAUGACGUGGGACCUGGGUAUAAAUAAAGGAUGUUCUGUCAUGAACUUA
rnacentral:lncRNA from 1 species